UACAGGGGGUGCAAACGUUGCUCGGAAUUAUUGGGCGUAAAGCGCGCGUAGGCGGCCACUUAAGUCGGAUGUGAAAGCCCCUGGCUCAACUGGGGAAGUGCACCCGAAACUGAAUGGCUUGAAUGCAAAAGAGGGUCGCGGAAUUUCCGGUGUAGAGGUGAAAUUCGUAGAUAUCGGGAGGAACACCGGUGGCGAAGGCGGCGACCUGGGUUGACAUUGACGCUGAGGCGCGAAAGCGUGGGGAGCAAACAGG
rnacentral:rRNA from 1 species